UUGCUUUUGUAACAAGUAUACCAAAAUUGGGACAAUACAAAGAAUAUUUGUGUGGCCCCUCUGCGAGGAUGACACACUAAUUUGUGAAGCACAAAUUUU
rnacentral:snRNA from 1 species